GAUAAAUUAACACAGGGAACCACGAUUAGCACCCAACUGCUAGUACCACCACCACCAGAAAUCAGUACAAACAAGAGGGGAGGCGACCUAGCUAAGACGAGGUGAACUUGGUGACGGCCUUGGUGCCCUCGGAGACGGCGUGCUUGGCGAGCUCCCCGGGGAGGACGAGGCGGACGGAAGUCUGGAUCUCUCGGGACGUGAUGGUGGGCUUCUUGUUGUAGCGGGCGAGCUUGGCGGACUCGGCGGCGAGCUUCUCGAAGAUGUCGUUG
rnacentral:lncRNA from 1 species